rnacentral:lncRNA from 1 species
AUUGCUUUCUUUCUGAAAAACUCAAAGUCAAGUGUCAAGUAGGAACACUACUAAUAUGGAAAAAUAGUAUCUAAUAAGUCAUUAGCAGGUAUACUGUAUUUUCCCACCAUAUUCAUAUUUAACUCAUUUCAGCCUUACUUCACUGUGCUCACUCUGUACAAAGAAACUUGAUCAUUGAGAAGAUUUUGCCAGCAUUUUGACUCUGCUUCUCUAUGGGACAUGAGUCCAGAUAACGAGCCUCAUCUUGAAAAAAAUAGAAAGACAUCAAGCAGGAUGGUUCUUAGAAAGGCUGGGCUUGCCGCACAGUGUUGUCACUUGAGCACAUGGAUCAGCUGCCACGGGAGACAAGAGACGUGACCCACUGCUGAGCACCUCAAAGGCGUGAGUAUCACCAUUUUUCAGUGACAAUGAAGUGCAAAGGGGCCUUAAUACAACCUGAAAACCUUUGGAAAAAGUUAUUUUUAACCCCAUGCCUACAAUUCGCUGCUUCUUAAGCAUAAUUAAUGGAAGAAACCCACCAUAGGAAUCAUUUUGUAGCUGAAAUUAGCUGACACUCCAAGGCACACUGGGAGUUGCUGGCAUUUGAAGUAUGGGCUGUUGCCAAUUUCAAUACGCACGUUUGCUAGGUAAACUCCCUUUGAGUACUCUUGUACCCUGUCAACUCUGGCAUUAAAGACAGGGGCCCACUGUUCAGACACAAAAUUUCUCCUUAGGAGAGCUGCUCAACCCCGGAUGCAAACUUCGAAAAAAGAACAACCAGACUCAAAAUAAUGAAUAUGGGCAAAGCUAAGAGGAGUAUUACCAGUUACAGUAAUAAAAUUGUUCCCUUCGUUUAGAAUAAAGCCA